GACGAACCGUGCGAACGUUGUUCGGAAUCACUGGGCUUAAAGGGAGCGUAGGCGGGCUGUCAAGUCUGGGGUGAAAUCCCGCGGCUCAACCGUGGAACUGCCUCAGAUACUGACGGCCUCGAGGAAGGUAGGGGCAUGCGGAACUGUAGGUGGAGCGGUGAAAUGCGUUGAUAUCUACAGGAACUCCGGUGGCGAAAGCGGCGUGCUGGACCUUUUCUGACGCUGAGGCUCGAAAGCUAGGGGAGCAAACGGG
rnacentral:rRNA from 1 species